rnacentral:rRNA from 1 species
GACGAACGCUGGCGGCGCGCCUAACACAUGCAAGUCGAACGAGCGAGAGGAGGUUUACUUUCUCAAGCGAGUGGCGAACGGGUGAGUAACGCGUGAGGAACCUGCCUCAAAGAGGGGGACAACAGUUGGAAACGACUGCUAAUACCGCAUAAGCCCACGACCCGGCAUCGGGUAGAGGGAAAAGGAGCAAUCCGCUUUGAGAUGGCCUCGCGUCCGAUUAGCUAGUUGGUGAGGUAAUGGCCCACCAAGGCGACGAUCGGUAGCCGGACUGAGAGGUUGAACGGCCACAUUGGGACUGAGACACGGCCCAGACUCCUACGGGAGGCAGCAGUGGGGAAUAUUGCACAAUGGGGGAAACCCUGAUGCAGCGACGCCGCGUGGAGGAAGAAGGUCUUCGGAUUGUAAACUCCUGUUGUUGAGGAAGAUAAUGACGGUAUUCAACAAGGAAGUGACGGCUAACUACGUG